rnacentral:rRNA from 1 species
GACGAACGCUGGCGGCGUGCUUAACACAUGCAAGUCGAACGGAAAGGCCCUGCUUGCCGGGUGCUCGAGUGGCGAACGGGUGAGUAACACGUGGGUGAUCUGCCCCUUACUUUGGGAUAAGCCUGGGAAACUGGGUCUAAUACUGGAUAGGACCAUGCUGUAGGUGGUGUGGUGGAAAGAUUAGUUUCGGUAAGGGAUGAGCUCGCGGCCUAUCAGCUUGUUGGUGGGGUAAUGGCCUACCAAGGCGUCGACGGGUAGCCGGCCUGAGAGGGUGGACGGCCACAUUUGGACUGGGAAUAGGGCCAGAACCCUUAGGGGGGGAGCAGUGGGGAAUAUUGCACAAUGGGCGCAAGCCUGAUGCAGCGACGCCGCGUGGGGGAUGACGGCCUCCGGGUUGUAAACUCCUUUCAGCCAUGACGAAGCCCUUGUGGUGACGGUAGUGGUAGAAGAAGCACCGGCUAACUACGUG